AUUGAACGCUGGCGGCAGGCCUAACACAUGCAAGUCGAGCGGCAGCGGGAAAGUAGCUUGCUACUUUUGCCGGCGAGCGGCGGCCGGGUGAGUAAUGCCUGGGACAUUGCCCAGUCGAGGGGGAUAACAGUUGGAAACGACUGCUAAUACCGCACACGCCCUACGGGGGAAAGCAGGGGACCUUCGGGACUUGAGCGAUUGGAUAUGCCGAGGAGGGAUUAGCUAGUUGGUGAGGUAAUGGCUCACCAAGGCGACGAUACCUAGCUGGUCUCAGCGGAUGAUCAGCCACACUGGAACUUAGACACGGUCCAGACUCCUACGGGCGGCAGCAGUGGGGAAUAUUGAACAAUGGGGGAAACCCUGAUGCAGCCAUGCCGCGUGUGUGAAGAAGGCCUUCGGGUUGUAAAGCACUUUCAGCGAGGAGGAAAGGUUGAUGCCUAAUACGUAUCAACUGUGACGUUACUCGCAGAAGAAGCACCGGCUAACUCCGUGCCAGCCGCCGCAGUAAUAC
rnacentral:rRNA from 1 species